rfam:Perkinsus marinus ATCC 50983 gcontig_1104296601324, whole genome shotgun sequence.
AGCAUAUAAGUAAGCGGAGGAAAAGUAACUAACUAGGAUUCCGUUAGUAAUGGUGAAUGAACAGGGAUCAGCUCAGCGCCAAAUCGGAAUCACUUGUGCUUGUGAAAUGUGGCUUGAAGGCAGUACCAGUGGCAUCGCGGACGAAAGUCUCUUGGAUAAGAGCGUCAUAGAGGGUGAGCAUCCCGUGAGUCGUUCGCCGUUUGUCACGUACGGUCUGCGUUCUAACGAGUCGCGUUCCUUGGGAUUGGAGCGUAAACGGGUGGUAAAUUUCAUCCAAAGCAAACUAUAUACUCGAGACCGAUAGCACAAAAGUACCGUGAGGGAAAGGUGAAAAGAACUUUGAGAAGAGGGUUAAAUAGUCCCUGAACUCGUUGAGAAGGAAGCGGAUGCCGCCGUUGCAUAUGCUGAUUGUAGGAUUGCUGCUCGCUCCUGUCUUCUGCUACUCAUUCACAGACCUGGUCGUGUUGAGCAGUUGUUUGGCAGAUGUUAGUGGUGUUUCCUACUCUCAGUCGUCAGCAUCACUGGUUGAGUGGAAAUAAUCCUUGGAUGCUAAUUGGUUCGCUAUCUGUGAAUUGGUUGCUUCCUUGCGAUACUCACUACUCGGUCAGUGAGGAAGUGCGUUUGUUGGUCAACGAGCUUUCUAACUGUCAUUACCCUGCGCUUUUCGAUUCGUCGAGUGGCCAGGAUGUGGCUUUGAGAUUGUUCGCACUUAGUAAUCGCGAUGCUGGCUUCCAACGGUUGCCUCCGGCCCGUCUUGAAACACGGACCAAGGAGUCUAACGUAUGUGCGAGUGCGUGAGUGGCAAACUUAUACGCGUAAUGAAAGUGAGGCCGUAUGGCCAUGUCGGGGUCACCAACAACCGACCUUGAUCUUCGGUGAAAGGUUUGAGUAUGAGCAUAUCCGUUAGGACCCGAAAGAUGGUGAACUAUGCCUGAGCAGGGUGAAGCCAGGGGAAACUCUGGUGGAGGCUCGUAGCGAUACUGACGUGCAAAUCGUUCGUCAGACUUGGGUAUAGGGGCGAAAGACUAAUCGAACCAUCUAGUAGCUGGUUCCCUCCGAAGUUUCCCUCAGGAUAGCUAGAGUCUUUAUCAGUUUUGUCAGGUAAAGCGAAUGAUUAGAGGUUCCGGGGAAGUAACUUCCUCGACCUAUUCUCAAACUUUAAAUGGGCAAGAUCCAGUAGUUACUUAAUUGAACUAUUGGGGUCAAUGAGACGACUCUAAGUGGGCCAUUUUUGGUAAGCAGAACUGGCGAUGAGGGAUGAACCUAACGCUCGGUUAAGGUGCUAAACUGCUCGCUCAUCAGAUACCACAAAGGGUGUUGGUCGAUCUUAACAGCAGGACGGUGGUCAUGGAAGUCGAAAUCCGCUAAGGAGUGUGUAACAACUCACCUGCCGAAUCGACUAGCCCCGAAAAUGGAUAGCGCUGAAGCGAGUGACCGAUACCGGGCCAUUGUUGCAAGAUAAUUGGCAACAAUGAGUAGGAGGGCGUGGGGGUUGUGAAGAAGCUUGGACGUGAGUCUGAGUGAAACAGCUUCCAGUGCAGAUCUUGGUGGUAGUAGCAAGUAUUCAAUAAGAGAACAUUGAAGGCCGAAGUGGGGAAGGGUUCCAUGUGAACAGCACUUGGACAUGGGUUAGCCGAUCCUGA